rnacentral:rRNA from 1 species
AUUGAACGCUGGCGGCAGGCCUAACACAUGCAAGUCGAGCGAGCGGCGGACGGGUGAGUAAUGUAUGGGGACUGCCCGAUAGAGGGGGAUAACUACUGGAAACGGUAGCUAAUACCGCAUACUAUCGGAUAACCCAUAUGGGAUUAGCUAGUAGGGGAUGUAAUGGCUAACCUAGGCGACGACCCCUAGCUGGUCUGAGAGGGUGAUCAGCCACACUGGGCCUGGGACACGGCCCGGACUCCUCCGGAGGCAGCAGUGGGGAAUAUUGCACAAUGGGCGCAGUCCUGAUGCAGCAAGGCCGCGUGUAUGAAGAAGGCCCUAGGGUUGUAAAGUACUUUCAGUCGGGAGGCGUUACCGACAGAAGAAGCACCGGCUAACUCCGUGCCAGCAGCCGCGGUAAUAC